GACGCCGGAAGUGCCCGGAUGGAGCCGGCGGGAGGCGGCGCCGGGGGGGCUCCCCCCCGGCCUCCCGCGCCCGGCGAGAAACGGAGACCGGCCCAGUGCGAGGGGCCCCGCCUGCCCAAGCAGGGUCUGUCCGAGGCC